rnacentral:piRNA from 1 species
CAAGAGAUGACGUGACGGCUCUGAAA